GGGGCCCAAGAUGGCGGCGCGCUGGAGCAGCGAGAAUGUGGUGGUGGAGUUCCGGGACUCGCAAACUCGCCUGCCUAUUCCCUUUACUUAACUGCCGGGCAACUGCUAUGUCAGUGGAUUGUCUUGGACAGCAUGCGGUGCUCUCUGGCCGUCGUUUCCUCUACAUAGUUAACCUGGACGUGCCGACGGAAGGUCACCGCAAGAUCUCCCGUCAGAGCAAAUGGGACAUUGGGGCCGUGCAGUGGAAUCCACAUGACAGCUAUGCACACUACUUUGCAGCUUCGAGCAACCAGCGAGUUGACCUGUAUAAAUGGAAAGAUGGUAACGGGGAAGUUGGCACGUCACUGCAAGGGCACACGCGUGUGAUCAGUGAUUUAGACUGGGCCGUGUUCGAGCCAGAUCUGCUGGUCACCAGUUCUGUUGACACGUAUAUCUACGUUUGGGAUAUCAAGGACACCAGGAAACCUACAGUCUCACUCUCUGCAGUUGAUAGGCCAACACGAACAUCCACCACAACCUUAGCUCAUCUCCUGACACCCAGAUACCCUUGGACUCCCCACCUCCAUGAUGAACUCCCCUUCACUUCCAACAAUGAGCCACUUGCAGCGCACAUAUCUAGCGCCUUGGUCACACGCGAAUGCUCAGCCUUCACUCCAACCUCAGCAAGAUUAAAGUCCUGGAUGUUAGUGAUAGCUGGAGCCUCCCAGGUCAAAUGGAACAAGAAAAACGCCAACUGUUUAGCAACCAGCCAUGAUGGGGAUGUCCGUAUCUGGGACAAGCGGAAACCCAGCACUGCAGUGGAGUACUUGGCAGCGCAUCUCUCUAAAAUCCAUGGCCUGGAUUGGCAUCCGGACAACGAGUACAUCCUGGCCACUUCCAGCCAGGACAACUCUGUUAGGUUCUGGGAUUACCGUCAGCCUCGGAAGUAUCUCAAUAUACUCCCCUGCCAGGUUCCAGUCUGGAAGGCGAGAUACACGCCUUUCAGCAAUGGGUUGGUGACCGUAAUGGUUCCCCAGCUGCGGCGAGAGAACAGCCUUCUCCUUUGGAACACCUUUGACCUGAACACGCCGGUUCACACCUUCGUGGGACACGACGAUGUGGUGCUGGAGUUCCAGUGGAGAAAGCAGAAAGAAGGCUCCAAGGACUACCAGCUGGUCACGUGGUCUCGUGACCAGACGCUGCGGAUGUGGCGGGUUGACUCCCAGCUGCAGAGGCUGUGCGCUAAUGAUAUCUUGGACGGGGUUGACGAACUCAUUGAUGGGAUUGCCCUCCUGCCUGAGCCGGAUAAGACCCUCCACACCCAGGACUCUGAACCCCAGCAUAGCUCCGGGCAUGCAGACGAGGACGCUUUAAAGGAAGACUUCCAGAACGACCUCCUGGUGGGAAGAAAAUCAGACCAGCUGGGGUUGCCGCAGACCCUGCAGCAGGAGUUUUCCCUGAUCAACGUGCAGAUCCGAAACGUCAAUGUGGAGAUGGACGCUGUGAAUCGCAGCUGCACAGUGUCUGUGCACUGUGGCAACCAGAGAGUCAAGAUGCGGGUGAUGUUCCCUGUGCAGUAUCCCAAUAAUGCUGCACCCUCCUUCCAGUUUGCCCCCACUACCACUAUCAGCUCCACAAUGAAGGCAAAGCUGCUGAAGAUUCUGAACGACACUUCCCUGCAGAAGGUGAAGCGGAACCAGAGCUGCCUGGAGCCUUGCCUGCGUCAGCUGGUCUCCUACCUGGAGUCCGUUGUGAACCAGGAGGACAGCACCUCCAGCAACCCCUAUGCUCUGACAAACACCGUAACACCACCGUUGCCCACCUUCGCCCGAGUAUCUAAUGCCUACGGCUCCUACCAGGAUUCCAACAUCCCAUUUCCACGGACCUCUGGAGCCAGGUUCUGUGGUGCAGGUUACCUGGUAUAUUUCACAAGACCCAUGACAAUGCACCGUGCAGUCUCUCCUACAGAACCUACUCCCAGAUCUCUGUCGGCUUUAUCGGCCUAUCACAGCGGCCUGAUCACACCGAUGAAGAUCCGUACGGAGACCCCAGGCAAUCUGCGCUUGUACAGUGGGAGUCCCACCCGCAGUGAGAAGGAGCAGGUCUCCAUCAGCUCCUUCUACUACAAGGAGAGGAUGUCUCUUCGCUCUGCCCGGCGGCGCUGGUCCAUACAAGCAAUUAACGACUUCCCGAAAUCAAGGAGAUGGAAAAGCAAGCGUGAGGGGACAGAUGCCAACAACCGACCUAUUAAAGCUGCUGGCAAAGUCAUCAUACAGGAUAUCUCCUGCCUGCUUCCUGUGCACAAAUCGCUAGGGGAGCAGUACAUUCUGAACGUCAGUAACAUUCAGGAGACCUGCCAGAAGAAUGCCUCCUCAGCCCUGGCAGUUGGACGUAGGGAUCUCGUCCAGGUGUGGUCACUGGCUACGGUAGCCACGGAUCUCUGUCUUGGACCGAAGUCUGACCCAGAUUUGGAGACACCCUGGGCCCAACAUCCAUUUGGACGUCAGCUCCUGGAGUCCCUGCUGGCUCACUACUGUCAGCUCCAUGAUGUUCAGACCCUGGCCAUGCUCUGCAGUGUGUUUGAGGCGCAGUCCAGGCUGCAGGGGUGCGUGAGUUCCUCGGGACCCUUCCCUCAGCGCUCCUCCAACGUGUUCUCCCACAGCCGAUACCCCAGCUUUACGUCUUCAGGCUCCUGUUCCAGCAUGUCAGACCCUGGACUCAACGCUGGAGGCUGGAACAUAGCAAGCAAAGAGACAGAGCACACAUUCACCCCCUGGUGCGAGUCUUCGCCUGACGACCUCCGCUACGGAAACCUGACGUAUGCCGACCACCGGGAGCGCGAGAGAGAUCAACAUGACAAGAACAAAAGGCUCCUGGACCCUGCCAACACUCAGCAGUUUGAUGACUUCAAGAAAUGCUACGGGGAAAUCCUUUAUCGCUGGGGUCUGCGAGAGAAACGAGCUGAGGUUCUGAAGUUCGUUUCCUGUCCUCCCGACCCGCACAAGGGAAUCGGCGCACACAGCAGGGAGAUUCAGGAACAGAGCCCAACGCACGCCCUCUCAAGAGAGCAGAGAGCAGGAUGCGGGCCUCCGAAAUACAAGAUCCUCCUGCAACGUUAGCUGCAGCGUUGGCUUCGGAGGACAGUUCCCCCUGGCCUGGGCGCGAGGCACCAAGUACCUGUUGCUCACUGGGGCUGAGUGCAGAAGCAGGGUUGACAAAUGGACUCUUUCCAGUGGCCAGCUUAGACAUAAGGAUCCAUGAACAUCCAUCAUCUGCAAUUCCUACAACUUCAGAGUGAUCGGCUGGUCCCACCCGCAGUGCUGCAACUAAACAUACGUCAGAUGGUAAAUUACCUGGAUAAUAAAAAGACUUUCUUCAUCAUCCAAUAAAACCAGGGAUGAGUUUGUAAUGCGAACCAACCAAUUCCAGCUAGACUCACAGAUGAAAAGAUUGCUCGGUUCAUUUAAACAACUAAUUCUCCCUUUUGUCUUGUUCAGAGCAAACAUUUCAUGGACAUGGUUCUCAUUAUAACCAGACUACACUCCACCCAGCAGAGCAGACAUUGCUGGGAGGUUGCUGGUAUAAUAUAUGAGAAGGAAAUUAAACAAUGUGCAAAAAACAUUGACAGAAAAUUCAUUAAUUUGAGUCUUGAUGGGUGGAGCAAUGUACACAGUGAUCCAGUAAUAUGUGCUGGUGUGACAACAGAAGAUGGGGUUGUAUCUUACAAAAACAAUUGAUAUAUCAGGAAAUGCCCAUAUAGCAGAAUACUUAAAAGAAGUAGCAGUAAAAACUCUAAUAGGGUAUGAACAAAAAUUCAAGUGUCAGCUGUGUAACUUUGUCACAGUAUUGCAAAUGGAGCAAAGAAGAGAAGAAAUCUAGAAGAAGAUAAUGAAGGGCAUCUGAAACUUAUAACAUGGGCACUGGGCUCAUUUGACAUACGUUUUAGCCCAAGACUUAAGUACAGCUCCAAGAAUAAAGGAAAAUGUUGUUGAAAUUGCAAAAUCCAUCUAACAACCACUUUGCUUCAGCUUCCCUGAAGAGAGCCGGAGGGUCCAAACCAAUUCUCCCCCACGAUGAACGAUGGCAUCUUCGGAGCUGUUUAUUAAGAAUUGGCCUAUGCUGAUGACAAUUUUUGAAGAAACAAUUGCAGCCAAAAUAGACAACAUCGGACUAAAGAGAAAUGUAGACGACAUGCUAAAUAUCCUGAGCCCUAGUUCCAUAGCCUCGGACAAACUGCAGACGGACCACUGCUGCUUGGCUUAUGCCCUUGAAAUUCGGAAGGUGCUUCAAGAGAACUUGAAGAAAGAAAGACCCACCAACAAAGUCAAAUUGCAGGCAGUAAAGAAGCAGAUGGAUCAAGCACUUUCUCCACCUCAUUUUCUUGCCAAUAUUCUAGAUGCCUAACUGCUGAAGAAGAUGCUGCUAUGAAAUGGACAUCUAAUAAUCACCUGUCAAUCAGGCCAUCAGUAAAUUUCAGGGUGGGGAAGGAUCAGUCAAGUAGUACAUGUUUGCUGAUAAGAACAUAGGCAGGGCCAUACUGAAUCAGACCAAUGGUCCAUCUAGCCCAGUAUCCUGUCUUGUGACAGUGGCUGGCGCCAGAUGCUUCAGAGGGAAUGUACAGAACAGGGCAAUUAUUGAGUGAGCCAUCUGCUGUCAUCCACUUCCAGCUUCUGGCAGGCUGGUGAUGCUCUAAAGAAAGUUAGUGGUGGAAGGCACUAGCUGGAGCCAGAGCUUGUUGAAGGGCUAAACCAUCUUUUGACAGCAAUAGCUUCUUCUUCAGGCACAGAAAGAAUAUUUUCUUCAUUUGAAUUAAUUCAGUUAAAGCUAAGAAAUUGGUUGGCAGUUGAAAAAGUUGGGGAUCUCGUCUUUCUCUUCCAGUCAUGGAAUAAAAACAAAGAGGGAAGGGAUGAGAUCUACUAGUUUUAAAAGUUUGAAGGACAGCCUGAGUAAUGUAGGAGACUAUUGUCUCAUUUUCAAGAGAUUUAGGCAGGGUGGGAACUUAAGCUCCAGUCACUUUCACUUAGGCAUAUCUAAAAAUGUUCCCAGGCUGACCUGAAAUAAUCAGUUUAAAUCUCUGACUACAGUUAAAUGCUCUGUUUAAUAAAUCAUUUAGUUGUAAAUGUGAAACGUGUUUUGGUCAGAGAAGUUUACGUAUCUCAAACAUUUUAGGUUGUUUUGUUUAAUAAAAACAUAUUGUAUAUGC